CCCGGUUGAUCCUGCCAGUAGUCAUAUGCUUGUCUCAAAGAUUAAGCCAUGCAUGUGUAAGUAUGAACUAAUUCAAACUGUGAAACUACGAAUGGCUCAUUAAAUCAGUUAUAGUUUCUUUGAUGGUACUGGCUACUCGUAUAACCGUAGUAAUUCUAGAGCUAAUACGUGCAAUAAACUUCGACUUCUGGAAGGGAUGCAUUUAUUAAAUAAAAGGUGACGCGGACCUAGUCCGUUGCUCUGAUGAUUCAUGAUAACUUGACGGAUCGCACGGCCUUUGUGCUGGCGAUGCAUCAUUCAAAUUUAUGCCCCAUCAACUUUCGAUGGUAGGAUAGUGGCCUACUAUGGUGGUGACGGGUGACAGAGAAUUAGGAUUCCGAAGAGGGAGCCUGAGAAACGGCUACCACAUCCAAGGAAGGCAGCAGGUGCGCAUAUUACCCAAUCUUGACAUGGGGAGGUAGUGACAAUAAAUAACAAUACCGGGCUCUUCGAGUCUGGUAAUUAGAAUGAGUACAAUCUAAAUCCCUUAACGAGGAUCCAUUGGAAGGCAAGUCUGGUGCCAGCAGCAUUUGCCAAUAGCGUAUAUUUAAGUUGUUGCAGUUAAAAAGCUCGUAGUUGGAUCUCGGAAUAUGUCUGUCGGUCUGGCUUAUGGUGUGCACCGUCAGUCACGUCCUUUCUGCUGGCGAUGCGUUCCUGGCCUUAAUUGGCCUGGUCGUUCCUCCGGCGAUGUUACUUUGAAGAAAUUAGAGUGCUCAAAGCAAGCCUUCGCUCUGUAUACAUUAGCAUGGGAUAACGUCAUAAGAUUUCGAUCAUAUUCUGUUGGCCUUCGGGAUUGGAGUAAUGAUUAACAGGGACAGUCUGUGGCAUUCGUAUUUCAUAUUCAGAGGUGAAAUUCUUGGAUUUAUGUAAGACGAACAACUGUGAAAGUAUUUGCCAAGGAUGUUUUCACUAAUCAAGAACGAAAGUUGGGGGCUCGAAGACGAUCAAAUACCGUCCUUGAUGUGCAACCGAAAGGUUAGCACGAUGCGGAUCAAGUGAUGUUCAACUUAGCGUUGAAAGUUUUAUGGUCAAAGGUCAAGGCCACGCUGUCAAGAAGAUAGAUGGAUUUUUGAUAAACUUCACUCUGAAAACAAGGAGGGGAGGGGCACAUUAUAUAGAGUGAGGAAGGAUCCCGUUAAGUUAAGCCAAGGGCUCAUGGGGUGGUUCCCUAUAUGGAAGGCGACUGGCCCUUUAUGGUUCCUUCUCUUAUUCUAAGACUUAGAAAAACUCAGAAAAUAUAGAAAAGGCCGGUGGAAGUAAUGAUCCUAUUCUGUUGGCCUUUGAGAUCAGAGUAAUGAUUAACAGGGACAGUCGGGGGCAUUUGUAUUUCAUAGUCAGAGGUGAAAUUCUUGGAUUUAUGAAAGAAGAACAGCUGCAAAAGUGUUUGCCAAGGAUGUUUUCACUAAUGAAGAACGAAAGUUAGGGGCUCGAAGACGAUCAGAUAUCGUCCUAGUCUCAACCAUAAAUGAUGCCGACUAGGGAUCGGCAAAUGUUGCUUAUAGGACAUCGCCGGCACCUUUCUGAGAAAUCAAAGUCUUUGGGUUCCGGGGGGAGUAUGGUUGCAAGGCUGAAACUUAAAGGAAUUGAUGGAAGGGCAUCACCAGGAGUGGAGCCUGCGGCUUAAUUUGACUCAACACGGGGAAACUUACGAGGUCCAGACAUAGUAAGGAUUGACAGACUGAGAGCUC
rnacentral:rRNA from 1 species